rnacentral:rRNA from 1 species
ACGGGGCCCGCACAAGCGGUGGAGUAUGUGGUUUAAUUCGAUGCAACGCGAAGAACCUUACCUGGUCUUGACAUCCCGGAGACCCUUAGGAAACUAGGGGGUGCUUCCAUCUGGAAGAAUCUGGAGACAGGUGCUGCAUGGCUGUCGUCAGCUCGUGUCGUGAGAUGUUGGGUUAAGUCCCGCAACGAGCGCAACCCUUGCCUUUAGUUGCCAGCAGUUCGGCUGGGCACUCUAAAGGGACUGCCGGUGUUAAACCGGAGGAAGGUGGGGAUGACGUCAAGUCCUCAUGGCCUUUAUGACCAGGGCUACACACGUACUACAAUGGCCGAUACAAAGGGCAGCGACACUGCGAGGUGAAGCCAAUCCCGUAAAAUCGGUCUCAGUCCGGAUUGGAGUCUGCAACUUGACUCCAUGAAGUUGGAAUCGCUAGUAAUCGUGGAUCAGCAUGCCACGGUGAAUACGUUCCCGGGCCUU